GUGAGUCAGACCAUACGUCACGUGACCAUUCCGUCUCUUCCUCACGCCAGAGCGCACAGCCGGUCACAACAAGCUGCAAGCAAGCACCCACAUUUUCUUCAUGGCCGAGCGAGUGGUGCAAAGCUUUUAGGACAUACAUAUUGAUUGGGAGAAACGGACUAACACCGACAUGCUUCGUAAGGACAGGAGGAGGAAGCAGCGACAGAAAGAGCUACAUGAGGCAGCUAAAGGCAGUGGGUCCCUCACCAGCUGGAUAAAAAAAAAAGAGUACAGUCUGAGAUCAACACAGCCUUGCCCUCCAGCAUCAUCAGCAGCAGCAAGAGGAGCGACCCUGCAACAGCUACACUGUACCCCAUCAUCAGGUAAAAUAGGACAGCAAUAGAUCAGGAGGUGGAGCAGGUUGUCCAGUAAUAAGAAGGUUGCAGGUUUGAGCCUGACUUCAAUCAGAGAUUGAUGCUGUUGUGUCCUUGGGCAAGACACUUAACCUGCUUUGCCUGCUGGUGGGGGUCGGAGGGACUGGUGGCGCCUGUGCUCAGCAGCUUCACCUCUGUCACUGCGCUCCAGAGCAGCUAUGGCUACAUCAUAGCUCAUCACCAUCAGUGUGUUAAUGUGUGUGUGUGAAUGACUGAUUGUGUUGUAAUGUGCCUUGGGGGGCUGUAGAACCCUAAGAAGGCAUUAUACAAAUACAGACCAUUUACCUAAACAAGUUACUUUUGCUUUACAUUCUCCUUAUGGUGUAUAUAAUGAUUCGCUUCCAUUUUGAAUUUCUAAUAAAUAUGAUUUGUUAUUCAGCUGAGUAUACUGUGGUUAUGUCAUGGUGUUUGAAAAUAUUAUUCUGUGUGCCCCUUUUUAAAUUUGAGCACCCGCCCCUUCAAAGGUCUCUGCACAGC